AUUGAACGCUGGCGGCAGGCCUAACACAUGCAAGUCGAACGGUAGCACAGAGAGCUUGCUCUCGGGUGACGAGUGGCGGACGGGUGAGUAACGUCUGGGAAACUGCCCGAUGGAGGGGGAUAACUACUGGAAACGGUAGCUAAUACCGCAUAACGUCGCAAGACCAAAGUGGGGGACCUUCGGGCCUCACACCAUCGGAUGUGCCCAGAUGGGAUUAGCUAGUAGGUGGGGUAAUGGCUCACCUAGGCGACGAUCCCUAGCUGGUCUGAGAGGAUGACCAGCCACACUGGAACUGAGACACGGUCCAGACUCCUACGGGAGGCAGCAGUGGGGAAUAUUGCGCAAUGGGCGCAAGCCUGAUGCAGCCAGGCCGCGUGUAUGAAGAAGGCCUUCGGGUUGUAAAGUACUUUCAGCGGGGAGGAAGGCGGUGAAGUUAAUAACUUCACCGAUUGACGUUACCCGCAGAAGAAGCACCGGCUAACUCCGUGCCAGCAGCCGCCGCGG
rnacentral:rRNA from 1 species